rnacentral:rRNA from 1 species
UGGCCGCGGGAUCGAUUUAAGCCAUGCGAGUCGAGAGCGCAAGCUCGGCGGACUGCUCAGUAACACGUGGACAACGUGCCCUAAAGUGGGGGAUAAUCAGGGGAAACUCUGGAUAAUACCCCAUAGAUCAUGAGAUCUGGAAUGACUUAUGGUUCAAAGUUCCGGCGCUUUAGGAUCGGUCUGCGGCCUAUCAGGUAGUAGUGGGUGUAAUGUACCCCCUAGCCUAUUACGGGUAUGGGCCUUGAGAGAGGGAGCCCAGAGUUGGAUUCUGAGACACGAAUCCAGGCCCUACGGGGCGCAGCAGUCGCGAAAACUUCACAAUGGGCGAAAGCCCGAUGAGGGAAUUCCUAGUGCUAGCACUUUUGUGUUAGCUUUUCUUUAGCGUAGAUAACUAGAGGAAUAAGGGCUGGGUAAGACGGGUGCCAGCCGCCGCGGUAAUACCCGCAGCCCGAGUGGUGGUCGAUUUUAUUGAGUCUAAAACGUUCGUAGCCGGUCUGAUAGAUCCUUGGGUAAAUCGGGGGGCUUAACCUUCCGAAUUCCGAGGAGACCGUCAGGCUUGGGAUCGGGAGAGGUAAGAGGUACUUCAGGGGUAGGGGUAAAAUCCUGUAAUCCUUGGAGGACCACCGGUGGCGAAGGCGUCUUACUAGAACGAAUCCGACGGUGAGGGACGAAGCCCUAGGUCGCAAACGGGAUUAGAUACCCCGGUAGCCUAGGGUGUAAACGCUGCAGACUUGGUGUUGGAGGCCCUUCGGGGGCAUUCAGUGCCGGAGAGAAGUUGUUAAGUCUGCUACUUGGGGAG